rnacentral:rRNA from 1 species
UACGUAGGGUGCGAGCGUUGUCCGGAAUUAUUGGGCGUAAAGAGCUCGUAGGCGGUCUGUCGCGUCGGUCGUGAAAACUUGGGGCUUAACCCUGAGCUUGCGGUCGAUACGGGCAUGACUGGAGUUCGGCAGGGGAGACUGGAAUUCCUGGUGUAGCGGUGAAAUGCGCAGAUAUCAGGAGGAACACCGGUGGCGAAGGCGGGUCUCUGGGCCGAGUGACUGACGCUGGAGGAGCGAAAGCGUGGGAGCGAACAGG